rnacentral:rRNA from 1 species
AGAGUUUGAUCAUGGCUCAGAAUCAACGCUGGUGGCGUGCCUAACACAUGCAAGUCGAACGCGAAAGUCCCGCAAGGGAUCAGUAGAGUGGCAAACGGGUGAGUAACACGUGGGUGACCUGCCUUCGAGUGGGGGAUAACGUCCCGAAAGGGACGCCAAUACCGCAUGACAUCCUGCCUUUGAAUAGGCGGAGAUCAAAGCUGGGGAUCGCAAGACCUAGCGCUCAAAGAGGGGCCCGCGCCUGAUUAGCUAGUUGGUGGGGUAACGGCUCACCAAGGCAACGAUCAGUAUCCGGCCUGAGAGGGCGGACGGACACACUGGGACUGAGACACGGCCCAGACUCCUACGGGAGGCAGCAGUGGGGAAUUGUUCGCAAUGGGCGCAAGCCUGACGACGCAACGCCGCGUGGAGGAUGAAGAUCUUCGGGUCGUAAACUCCUUUCGAUCGAGACGAACGGCUCCCGGGUAAACAAUCCGGGAGAGUGACGGUACCGAGAGAAGAAGCCCCGGCUAACUCCGUGCCAGCAGCCGCGGUAAUACGGGGGGGGCAAGCGUUGUUCGGAAUUACUGGGCGUAAAGGGCUCGUAGGCGGCCAACUAAGUCAGACGUGAAAUCCCUCGGCUUAACCGGGGAACUGCGUCUGAUACUGGAUGGCUAGAGUUUGGGAGAGGGAUGCGGAAUUCCAGGUGUAGCGGUGAAAUGCGUAGAUAUCUGGAGGAACACCGGUGGCGAAGGCGGCAUCCUGGACCAACACUGACGCUGAGGAGCGAAAGCCAGGGGAGCAAACGGGAUUAGAUACCCCGGUAGUCCUGGCCCUAAACGAUGAAUGCUUGGUGUGGCGGGUAUCGAUCCCUGCCGUGCCGAAGCUAACGCAUUAAGCAUUCCGCCUGGGGAGUACGGUCGCAAGGCUGAAACUCAAAUGAAUUGACGG